rnacentral:rRNA from 1 species
AACGAACGCUGGCGGCAGGCCUAAUACAUGCAAGUCGAACGCCUGUAGCAAUACAGGAGUGGCGCACGGGUGAAUAACACGUGGGAAUAUGCCUUUUGGUACGGGACCACGUCUGGAGACGGACGCUAAUACCGGAUGGUCCCUUCGGGGUCAAGAUUUAUCGCCAAAAGAUUAGCCCGCGUCUGAUUAGCUAGUUGGUGAGGUAACGGCUCACCAAGGCGACGAUCAGUAGCUGGUCUGGGAGGACGAUCAGCCACACUGGGACUGAGACACGGCCCAGACUCCUACGGGAGGCAGCAGUAGGGAAUAUUGGACAAUGGGCGCAAGCCUGAUCCAGCCAUGCCGCGUGAGUGAUGAAGGCCUUCGGGUUGUAAAGCUCUUUAGUCCGCGAAUAAAAUGACUGUAGCGGAAGAAUAAGCCCCGGCUAACUUCGUGCCAGCAGCCGCCGUAA